CAGUAGCCGCGGUAAUACGUAGGUGGCAAGCGUUGUCCGGAAUUAUUGGGCGUAAAGGGCUCGCAGGCGGUUUCUUAAGUCUGAUGUGAAAGCCCCCGGCUCAACCGGGGAGGGUCAUUGGAAACUUGGAAACUUGGGUGCAGAAGAGGAGAGUGGAAUUCCACGUGUAGCGGUUAAAUGCGUAGAGAUGUGGAGGAACACCAGUGGCGAAGGCGACUCUCAGGUCUGUAACUGACGCUGAGGAGCGAAAGCGUGGGGAGCGAACAGGAUUAGAUACCCCAGUAGUCCCGUCUCUUAUACA
rnacentral:rRNA from 1 species